rnacentral:rRNA from 1 species
CUUGNUNAUUUAGAGGAANUAAAAGUCGUAACAUUCCCUCCGUAGGNGAACNUGCGGAGGGAUCAUUACCGAGUGAGGGCCUCCGGUCCNACCNCCAACCCUUUGUGAAUCGAAACCUCGUUGCCUCGGGGGUGACCCGGCCUCCGCGUCGGGGCCCCCGGUGGACGACAUCCAAACUCUGCGUCUCUGCGUCUGAGUCUAAAGUAAAUCAAUUAAAACUUUCAACAACGGAUCUCUUGGUUCUGGCAUCGAUGAAGAACGCAGCGAAAUGCGAUAAGUAAUGUGAAUUGCAGAAUUCAGUGAAUCAUCGAAUCUUUGAACGCACAUUGCGCCCUCUGGUAUUCCGGGGGGCAUGCCUGUUCGAGCGUCAUUACACCACUCAAGCCUGGCUUGGUAUUGGGCCCCGGGGGCGACCCGGGCCCGAAUGUCGCCGGCUGGACGACCCCGAUCGCAGCGUUGUGGCAAUCAAUUCNCUGACGGGACGGGCGGCCACGCCGUGAAACUUCUAUAUUCAAAGGUUGACCUCGGAUCAGGUAGGGAUACCCGCUGAACUUNAGCAUAUCAAUAAAGCGGAGGA